CCUACGGGGGGCAGCAGUGGGGGAUAUUGCACAAUGGGGGGAACCCUGAUGCAGCAACGCCGCGUGGGUGAAGGAGUACUUCGGCGUGUAAAGCCCUGUCAGCAGGGAAGAAAAUGACGGUACCUGACCAAGAAGCCCCGGCUAACUACGUGCCAGCAGCCGCGGUAAUACGUAGGGGGCAAGCGUUAUCCGGAUUUACUGGGUGUAAAGGGGGCGUAGACGGCAAGGCAAGCCUGGAGUGAAAGCCCGUGGCCCAACCCCGGGACUGCUUUUGAAACUGCGUGGCUGGAGUGCAGGAGGGGCAGGCGGAAUUCCUAGUGUAGCGGUGAAAUGCGUAGAUAUUAGGAGGAACACCGGUGGCGAAGGCGGCCUGCUGGACUGUGACUGACGUUGAGGCUCGAAGGCGUGGGGAGCAAACAGGAUUAGAUACCCCAGUAGUC
rnacentral:rRNA from 1 species